UACGUAGGGUGCGAGCGUUGUCCGGAAUUAUUGGGCGUAAAGAGCUCGUAGGCGGUGUGUCACGUCGGCCGUGAAAACCUGGGGCUUAACUCUGGGCGUGCGGUCGAUACGGGCAUCACUAGAGUUCGGCAGGGGAGACUGGAAUUCCUGGUGUAGCGGUGAAAUGCGCAGAUAUCAGGAGGAACACCGGUGGCGAAGGCGGGUCUCUGGGCCGAUACUGACACUGAGGCACGAAAGCGUGGGGAGCAAACAGG
rnacentral:rRNA from 1 species